rnacentral:rRNA from 1 species
GACGAACGCUGGCGGCGUGCUUAACACAUGCAAGUCGAACGGAAAGGCCCUGCUUUUGUGGGGUGCUCGAGUGGCGAACGGGUGAGUAACACGUGAGUAACCUGCCCUUGACUUUGGGAUAACUUCAGGAAACUGGGGCUAAUACCGGAUAGGAGCUCCUGCUGCAUGGUGGGGGUUGGAAAGUUUCGGCGGUUGGGGAUGGACUCGCGGCUUAUCAGCUUGUUGGUGGGGCAGUGGCUUACCAAGGCUUUGACGGGUAGCCGGCCUGAGAGGGUGACCGGCCACAUUGGGACUGAGAUACGGCCCAAACUCCUACGGGAGGCAGCAGUGGGGAAUAUUGCACAAUGGGCGGAAGCCUGAUGCAGCAACGCCGCGUGCGGGAUGACGGCCUUCGGGUUGUAAACCGCUUUCGCCUGUGACGAAGCGUGAGUGACGGUAAUGGGUAAAGAAGCACCGGCUAACUACGUG